AAGUACAGUCUUUGCCUUGAUUUCUUCAGUGUGUGCUGGGUGUUCACAGUCCAUGUUAGAUCGUCAGUAAGGUGUAUUCCCAGGUAUGUCAAACUUGAUCUAAAUGACUUAACAUAAGCAUAACAUGAUCGUAUAUUUGCCUCAUUGUUCUUAUUGGACGCGGCUAUGUAUACAGCACUAUUUAGAAUCCAUUUAGCCCACUUUUAAGGGUGUUUUCCUCUUUAUCGGUAACGUUGAAUCCAACCACGGGAGCCGCCAUCUUGCCAUUCUGUUGACAAAAAGCAGCUACCUCAUUGGUGUAGACCGAUCACGUGUCGAACCGUGCCACCCCUCGUGACCAAGAUCCUAUUACGCUCUGAAGAAACUAGUUCGGCAUAAAACAUAGUCGCAUCGAGAAUCGACGGCAAAUUCAGCGGCGGAAUUUUUUUUGGUAGGUUAGCACAACUCCUUCUUUUUUAUGAGCUAAGGAUUGUGUAGAUGCGCGACUGUGGAGCGGGUUGAAACGAAAACAGUGUUCACCUUACGGCCUAGUUGUUGUUUCCGUCCGGGUUGUCUCCCGGUGUCAUGACGUCAGCGUGCUAGCAGAAAGUAGACGGAGCCGAGCGCGUGUGGAGGAAACGUCUGUCCGUGAGUUCGUGAACAUGUGUAACGUCCCAGAGCUGAUAUGUUUAGUGAACCAGCGACUGACUGCGGCUGCUGGAGAGAUAUGUGGGCUGUUUGAAGACACAGCAGAGCACGAGGAGGAACUGACUAGUUUAAAAGAGUAGCACGAGCGCCAACGGAAACGACUGGAUGCCAUGUUCAACCCGAAAGUCCGGUUACAACGAGCAGUUGUCGUUUCAGCUCGCAUCAGUUCGUCCCUCCGCCACCCCAGGCUCCUCCAAUUGGCGUUGCGGCAACGCGGCUUCGACACCACCACCAGUGUCUGGACUCCAUGGGGGGAUUCUGCCUGCGCAGAUAUCAGCAUCUCUACCCCUGGUUUAUCCUACUUCAGGAUGGAGUCCAAUCGCCAAAAAAGACUUUGCACUAUUGCAAUAUUCUAUUGUAAUAAAUGAUUGUUCAACUCUAAAUA